CCAUGGACUUUGGGUGCAGCGGAACGAGCAACGAACAGAUCUAGAGACUUCUGGACUCGAUCCAAGGCCCUUGACGAAAUCAGCCUGGUUGCUGUCUUCUUCGUCAGCUUUUCGUUCCAGAUGAAGAACACCUCUAAAAUCACCUCUAAAAAAUCUAAGAUCUGGUACCCAAUCAGAUCAGGCCUGGAUCGAGGUCUUUCAAUUUGUAGAUCUUAAAUUGGGAUGUUCU
rnacentral:lncRNA from 1 species